AGUGUCACCAGUUGUGCCCUGAUUUCCCCUCAAUAUUUAUACAUAAUGUGAUUUUCUUGCAGAUUUGGUACUCUGUGCAUUAUAGCUAAUGAUGUAGGACUCCCAAGUCCUUUAGUUAUAUACUACUCUAUUUCUCAUCUUGAUCAUGGAUAAUCUUGAAUUGUUUCCCAAGUUAUUUACAACUUACGGAGUGCGAAUGUGUGUUGUGAAUUCGAAACAGUACCAACCUAAAAACCAUAAAUCCUGCAAGAACAUCUACAGUCACCUAUUGCUUGAUACCAUUGACAAACUAGCAUCUACUUAGAUCAACCUCUUCCUAUUCUAAGUUCUAACUAUCAAGUUCCAUGUAUAUACUGUAGGUGAGAUUUAGCAUUGAUGCUAUUGGCGAUAGGGACAUAUGACAUCUUAAGAUCUCAGACCCAGGCAGGCUAUACAGGUUCAAAAUUUACCAUUAGUCUACAUUGCAAAGAACACAUCUAAUUCAGUGAAUCUAAGUAAUAUUCGUCAUGGUUUCACUUUCAGCCAACACCAUGCAGGUGAAACACAAAUGCUCUGUUCAAUUUAUUUUCUUUAUCUAUCAUUUCUAUAUGCAAAAGGAGUAUUAUUUAUGGUUAUAUUUUUCUACCGAUGCUUUAUGGUCAAAGUUCUUACUGAUACAUUAUCCAUUCGUGCCCUGGGCAUUAAUUGUUGCAACAGGAUGAAGUCAUGUUGAUUUAGAAUAAACUUCAACAUAUGCUCCAGUUCACAAUCUGGAAUCAUUAGCUAAGUGCAACUACGAUUCUCUGAAGAAUGGUUUAGGAUUGAAUUGGAUUUUUUUAUCAAUUUUUAUAUUAAUACUAUUGGGAGCAAACUUCCAGUUACAAAUUUUUGCAACAUGUUAUCUUUAUUGGUAGGCGAAGGUGUCUCUUGACUCUCUUGAGGUGGAGUAUCUGGGAUUAUUUUGUUCGAACUAUUAACUGCUUGGAAAGAAAAGUCUCCCGUGUUGUGCUACCAAAAUCUUGGAAUAGGGGCAAGAUGAGUCAGUAAGCAAGCGAUGGGACCAGGGUGAGUACCUACCGGUGCUGGCGAAGAACCAUGGUUGUCUUGCCAGCGAACAUGCCCUCUACGAUGACGUGAAUCUCGCCGAGUUGGACUGCUGAGUUGGACGUCCUCGCCCCCCGUGGCUUCUCGUGUAGGUUCCACUUUUUUGCCACUGAAGCGCAUGCCAUGGCACUUUUACUACACACUAAACCAACAAACUGCAUCAUCGUAAAACAGGAUAUUCUUUACACUCACGAAAAAACAAUAUUUACUAUCCAUUCUAUUCAUACAUACAGGGAAGAAAGUAUUAGCUUAUUUUUC